AUUCCUACGGGAGGCAGCAGUGGGGAAUCUUGCGCAAUGGGCGAAAGCCUGACACAGCAACGCCGCGUGCGGGAUGAAGGCCCUCGGGUCGUAAACCGCUUUCAGCAGGGAUGAAAUUGACAGUACCUGCAGAAGAAGCCCCGGCUAAAUACGUGCCAGCAGCCGCGGUAAUACGUAUGGGGCUAGCGUUAUCCGGAUUUAUUGGGCGUAAAGAGCGCGUAGGCGGUCUGUUAAGUCGGAUGUGAAAACCGGGGGCUCAACCCGCGGCCUGCAUCCGAAACUGGCAGACUUGAGUCUGGUAGAGGAAAGUGGAAUUCCUAGUGUAGCGGUGAAAUGCGCAGAUAUCAGGAGGAACACCGAUGGCGAAGGCAGGUCUCUGGGCAUUAACUGACGCUGAGGAGCGAAAGCAUGGGGAGCGAACAGGAUUAGAUACCCUGGUAGUCCAUGCCGUAAACGUUGGGCACUAGGUGUGGGGGACAUUCCACGUUUUCCGCGCCGUAGCUAACGCAUUAAGUGCCCCGCCUGGGGAGUACGGCCGCAAGGCUAAAACUCAAAGGAAUUGACGGAAU
rnacentral:rRNA from 1 species